rnacentral:rRNA from 1 species
CCUACGGGAGGCAGCCGUGGUUCAUCUUUCACAAUUUUCUCCCUCCUGAUGCAGCAACGCCGCGUGAAGGAAGAAGGGUUUCGGCUCGUAAACUUCUAUCAACAGGGACGAAAGAAAUGACGGUACCUGAAUAAGAAGCCCCGGCUAACUACGUGCCAGCAGCCGCGGUAAUACGUAGGGGGGAAGCGUUAUCCGGAAUUACUGGGUGUAAAGGGUGAGUAGGCGGCAUGGUAAGCCAGAUGUGAAAGCCUUGGGCUUAACCCGAGGAUUGCAUUUGGAACUAUCAAGCUAGAGUACAGGAGAGG